AACGCACAUUGCGCCCGGCAGCAAUCUGCCGGGCAUGCCUGUCCGAGCGUCAUUUCUGCCCUCGAGCGCGGUUCGGUCCCACCGUGGGCCGCGCCGCCGCCCGGUGUUGGGGCGCUGCGGGCCACCGUUGCCCGCAGGCCCUGAAAUGAAGUGGCGGUCCCGCCGCGGCGCCCCCUGCGUAGUAAGUUAGCUCACCUCGCAUCGGGUCCCGGCGAAGGCCAGCCGUCGAACCUCAACUCCUGAUGGUUUGACCUCGGAUCAGGUAGGGUUACCCGCUGAACUUAA
rnacentral:misc_RNA from 1 species